GAUCAACGCUGGCGGCGUGCCUCAGACAUGCAAGUCGAACGAUUAAAGCUCUCUUCGGAGAGUGUAUAGAGUGGCGCACGGGUGAGGUAACACGUAAGUAAUCUACCCUCGAGUGGGGAAUAACAACCGGAAACGGUUGCUAAAUACCGCAUAAUGCAGCGGCACCGCAAGGUGACAGUUGUUAAAGAUUUAUCGCUUGAGGAGGAGCUUGCGGCAGAUUAGCUAGUUGGUAGGGUAACGGCUUACCAAGGCUACGAUCUGUAACCGGUCUAAGAGGACGGUCGGUCACACUGACACUGAAUAACGGGUCAGACUCCUACGGGAGGCAGCAGUCGGGAAUUUUGGGCAAUGGGCGAAAGCCUGACCCAGCAACGCCGCGUGAAGGAUGAAGUA
rnacentral:rRNA from 1 species